GCCGACAAUUCAGACAAUUCGUCGGUGACAGGUCGGAUUUGUUGCGGACCGUUUAUAAUUCCUGGUGUUAGCGCACAAUUUGGUGACAAUAAUUUCAACUCAAACGCAUCCCUUAAAAAUGUUUUGAUCGUGGAAUCCUCGAUAUGCCGGCACAAGUAACGCGGCAUAAAAAAAAAAUGGAACAAACGGAUGACACACUCACCGAGGCUGAGCAGAUUGUAGCAAAGGCGACACAAUAGCCAUCGACACCACAGGAAAACCCUCGGUCUGCCGCGUUUCGACGCGACCACGGUCAUUGUUUCGCGCUCGCGUUGUUUUUUACUCGGGGAUAGUUCCGCCUUAAAGUAUAUCCUAUGCCUGAUCCACGCAUAGAAGAACUGAACGUACUGAAAUGGCCCACAUAUUAAACAGCGGCAUAUUGCCUGGCCUGAUGCAUAAUGUUGAACCAUUGGGAGAGAGCGGUGUAAAGAGAAAAGGAGGAAGAGCGUGUGCACGACGCGGAGGAACAGGGAUGGAAGAACGAAGGAACGAGCCCGUAUGAUUCCCCUACUUGCGAACGAAUGAAUGACGCCAUUCGUUAAAUUGCGACUAAGAUCCGGAUGUGUCGAAUAUCGAGUGUUUGUCAAGGCUUUGGGAAACGUUGGAAUAUUUCACCCCCUCGUUGUUCGCGGAUAAGGCAAAAGUAGUGUCUCGUUAAGUGUCGCGACGAUUCCAUUACGAGUAGGAUAGAUACAACGAGUCUAUAUGUGAAAAUAUGUGAAUACAUGUUUCGUAGAAGGAUUUCGAGAGAUGUACGUGUGUGUGUGUGUAUGCGUGUGUGCAGAAAUGGAAUUUUGAAACGGAUAGAUGGAAGUAAAUAUUUUUGUCACGAAGUGUUUUUUAAACUUUUAGUUGGUAAAACUUUUAAAUGAUAAUUACGAAUAUAUAUUUUAAAUUAAUGGAAUGAUUAGUAUUUUAGCAAUUUAGAGUAUCUUAUUAAAAUAGGAGAAAAUAGUAUUUCAAAUUAAUUUAAUUUAAAGAAUGCUAUGCCAACAGGAAAUAGCAACAUAGAACACACACAGAAUGGAAAAAAAGACCAGAGCAAACAUCGCGUGACUUGUCAUUAUAAGUUUAUGACGCGGUAAUUCUCUUUGGGAGCAUGCACUUUAUAGAACGUAUUAUCGUACUAAUAUCCUUGUCUUGAAAAGCAAAAGAAAAAAAAAAAAAACUCGAAUUCAUAAGAAUCCUCCGCGUGUUGAAGAAACUCGCAAAAAUUUCGCGGCCUCCAUUCGAGAAAUAGAAAGCAAUACAGUCUCACUUACGAUCGUUUUUAUUUGAAUUGGAAAUAAUUUUCUGUUGAAGAAAAAUUCUCCGAUUUAUAGAUCGUUCUUAAUUUCUUCCAAGAUUAAUGCUGUUACAAGAGAAACGUUAUUAUACGGUAUAUAACGAGAAUUAUAAUUUUUAUUUUCUCUGGUAUAUAUUUGCAGAAUAAGUCGUACAAUUUUUUUUUGUUGAAAUGGUGAAAAAAUAAUAAAUGAUAAAUUAUGAUUAAAAAAAGAAAUGAUUCUAAUUGUGAUAUAAUGUAAAAAGAAUUCAAUUUAUAUAUUUCGUAAAAUGGACUUUUAAAAAUAAGUAAGAUAUUCUUUUAAUAAUCUCUAUCAAUGAGAUCUUAAUAAAUUAAAUUUUCAAAAAUAUAUAUAAUUGACAAAUCCAUGAAGUUUUGUAAAAAAUUAAAUGAAGAAUAUCACGAUAUUUUUUUGACGAAACUAUAUAUUUAAUUUUAAAUAAAGAUAUUUUUUUAACAACACGA